UGCAGACCCGCGAACACAGCCGAAGACCCGCGAACACAGCCGAAGACCCGCGAAAACAGCCGAAGACCCGCGAAAACAGCCAAAGACCCGCGAACACAGCCUAAGACCCGCGAACACAACCGCAGACCCGCGAAAACAGCCGCAUACCCGCGAACACAACCGCAGACCCGCGAACACAGCCGCAUACCCGCGAACACAGCCGAAGACCCGCGAAAACAGCCGAAGACCCGCGAACACAGCCGAAGACCCGCGAACACAACCGCAUACCCGCGAACACAGCCGAAGACCCGCGAACACAACCGCAAGAUGGAGCCGAAUGGAGAGAGAGACAGGGAGGAGAAGUGACGGAAGAACAGCGGAUACUAAUCGCUUGGUCAUCUGCUGUGGACUUCUCAGGACGAUUUUUAUAACCUGGAAUAUUUUUUUAUAAGGAACCCUUUUGCUUUUUGUGAUCUGUGGACCGUUACAGACUAAAGGAGGACAACUAAGGGAGGAAUGGAGGGAGAAUCGGAAGUUCAACAGACGGUGUUCCUUCACAACUUGGUCCUUCGAGCCGGAUCUCAACAACCUCUCCUACUGUCCAGAACAGGACCUGAAACGUGCACGGGGGAGUCUGGGACUCCUGAACUAAAGCCCUCCAGCAUAGAAAAUUGCUGUUAAAAAGAGGCCAGGAUCUACUGGACUGUGGGAAGGUGACGAGAUCCACAAACAGAGAGAAACCAGGACGUCUGAAUUAUAAGUUCCUUCACCUGUCUGACUGAGCCGCUGCUAUGAUGAUGAGUGAUGUCAUAUGGAAGAGACGGACACACCUACAGCCUCCACCUGAUCUCAGAAUGACCUCCGUGACCCAGUCUCAACACAAAGGGCAA